rnacentral:rRNA from 1 species
UACGGAGGGUGCAAGCGUUAUCCGGAUUUACUGGGUUUAAAGGGUGCGUAAGUGGGUUGGUAAGUCAGUGGUGAAAUACUUUCGCUUAACGAAGGAACUGCCAUUGAUACUACCAGUCUUGAAUACAGUGGAGGUAGGCGGAAUGCGUCAUGUAGCGGUGAAAUGCUUAGAUAUGACGCAGAACACCAAUUGCGAAGGCAGCUUGCUACACUGUUAUUGACACUGAGGCACGAAAGCGUGGGGAUCAAACAGG